rnacentral:lncRNA from 1 species
ACCCAUGAGGCUUCAGCAAGAAUGCAGCAGUACAAGGCAGUUGCUGGGUGAACAUGCUUCAGUGCAAUCGUGCUGCAGUAUCGAAAUCCUUGUCUAAGUUUGAACUAUUUAGAAAGACUUAUCUUCUUAUAACUGAGUGCAUAUUUUCUCUUCUUCAACCCAUUUUUCUAAGCAAAUCCUUGCUCUGAUAUCGAUUUACCUGCAAACAAAGCCAAAUCCUACAAGAAUCCCGGAAGACAACCUUCCACAAAAUGCCUUUCUUGUUGUGUUGGUCUGCCUGGGAUUACAAGGACGACCUGGAGUGGGAUAACUCAUGCUGAACACUGUGAUCUUUUAGUGAAUCCCCGGAGAAAUCUGCAAGGAUUGUCAGCUGCAUGGAAAGCUUUUGGGAGGCUAAAAAUAAUCUGUCUUGCAUUCAACAAUUGCUUAAGAGUUUUCCAUUGUAAAUGGUAGCAAAAAUUGAUGUAUCCCAUCUUCUGAAUCUUUCCCAAGUUUUAAUUAUGUCACAACUUGUAUCCUUUGUCAAUAGAUCUUUCGAAUUGAUUUGUCC